AGGAUAGAGGCGCGGCGUGUUAUGAGUAGCGGCUGAAUGUCAAGCCCGGCGGGGCGAGGUCAGCGGCGAAAGGAGCAGCCGCCGAAGACGGGCGCCGGCAGGCGCGCGUUCUGGGAGAGCGGAAUAAUAUCCGUUCUACUGUCGCGUUUGCGGAGUGCUAUCGG
rnacentral:ncRNA from 1 species